rnacentral:lncRNA from 1 species
CGGAAUACAUUUAGUUGACCAUAGUGUUGUUGACUGAUUAAAAACCAUUCAUGCUCCUAGUGCCCCCUGGUAGAAUGCUGAUGAGAGCCUGGCCUGUGUGCUGGGCAUAUGCAAUAGAUUCUCUUCAAGCAGAGAUCAAAGUUGCCCUGCUAAAGUGGAACACUAAAAGCAUGGUGAAUUCUGAAAGUGAGGAGCAAGUUAACAAACCGUGGAAAGCAAGGCCACAGAAAGAUCUUGGAGUAUUCUGACCACAGUAUGAAAAGAGACCUGGUGAUUUUUAUGUCUGUAAUUGACAAGCAUUCAAUUCAAAUUUGAAACGCACAAUUUUUGCUUAAUUUGACAGUGUGGGUAGAUUAGAAAGAAUAAGGGGCUAAUGAUCAAAAUAUUCACUACCCAUAUGGCCUGGCCUGAUCAAUGACGCCAGUUACCAUAUUACUGGGAUAGGGUCUUGGGCAGGUCAUUGCCUGGGGCCUUCUUUUCCUCUUGUGAAGUAUGAGAACACUAGAUAAGAAUUGCCUUAGCUUCCCUUCCUGUUCAACAGAUUUUCUUUCUUUUCUUUUUUUUUUUUUUAGCCUGUAAGUUCUAUGCACAGAACGUAGAGAUUGAGCAUCCAAAAGGCAGAGAGGCUGCAGUGCUUCAGGAGAGGUGGGAGGCUCUCUCAUGCUCUGUGGCUUGUGAACAACAUGAUCAUCAAAAAGAAGUGAAGCUGGCAUUAACCAUGGUUGCACGAGGCUGUCAGUAACAAGUCAAGAGCAGCUAACUACCUGCUAGAGGCAGCAUUUAAAAAAUUCAAGAUUAAUAGUUUUCAGUGUUAGGGGAAUUCCUUAAGAAUUAGAAAAAUGUCCUAGUUUACUACAGAAAUAAAACACGUGUAUUGGCCCGAAAUUACCCAAGUUGGGAAAAAAACAGGUAUUUUGGAGUUUGUUGUUAUUGUUUUUCCUAAAUCACAAAAAUCUGUCUCAACUCUCCCUUUUCUUUUCUCUUCUUGGUUUGGUUAAUGAUACCAUUCUGCUGUUUAUAUUUAGUGAAUGUAUGAGUUAUCUCCAUGGGAAGACAUAAACGCAAAUUAAUGAGAAAUUUACUUCCCUUGUAGCUAUACAAUCAAGUCUAUAGAAAAGAAAGAAAAUUCCAAAGUAGCUGCAAUCUAGAUAUGUUUUCUA